rnacentral:rRNA from 1 species
GCUUCUUUCCUCCCGAGUGCUUGCACUCAAUUGGAAAGAGGAGUGGCGGACGGGUGAGUAACACGUGGGUAACCUACCCAUCAGAGGGGGAUAACACUUGGAAACAGGUGCUAAUACCGCAUAACAGUUUAUGCCGCAUGGCAUAAGAGUGAAAGGCGCUUUCGGGUGUCGCUGAUGGAUGGACCCGCGGUGCAUUAGCUAGUUGGUGAGGUAACGGCUCACCAAGGCCACGAUGCAUAGCCGACCUGAGAGGGUGAUCGGCCACACUGGGACUGAGACACGGCCCAGACUCCUACGGGAGGCAGCAGUAGGGAAUCUUCGGCAAUGGACGAAAGUCUGACCGAGCAACGCCGCGUGAGUGAAGAAGGUUUUCGGAUCGUAAAACUCUGUUGUUAGAGAAGAACAAGGACGUUAGUAACUGAACGUCCCCUGACGGUAUCUAACCAGAAAGCCACGGCUAACUACGUGCCAGCAGCCGCGGUAAUACGUAGGUGGCAAGCGUUGUCCGGAUUUAUUGGGCGUAAAGCGAGCGCAGGCGGUUUCUUAAGUCUGAUGUGAAAGCCCCCGGCUCAACCGGGGAGGGUCAUUGGAAACUGGGAGACUUGAGUGCAGAAGAGGAGAGUGGAAUUCCAUGUGUAGCGGUGAAAUGCGUAGAUAUAUGGAGGAACACCAGUGGC